AAAAAACUCUCUCCGGAGAAAGUAAACUAUACGCGAUCAAACCGAUCCCCAACACCACAAUGGAUCACUAUCACUGCAGCCCUGAUAAGCACAGCUCUGAGAGUGGCUGAGUGAGUUGGAGGCCUAAAUGGAUUGAAGGACAGACACCUG